rnacentral:rRNA from 1 species
CCUACGGGCGUCAGCAGUGGGGAAUAUUGGACAAUGGGCGAAAGCCUGAUCCAGCCAUGCCGCGUGUGUGAAGAAGGCCUUCGGGUUGUAAAGCACUUUCAGUGGGGAAGAAAGCCUUGGGGCUAAUACCCUCGAGGAAGGACAUCACCCACAGAAGAAGCAACGGCUAACUCCGUGCCAGCAGCCGCGGUAAUACGGAGGGUGCGAGCGUUAAUCGGAAUUACUUGGCGUAAAGCGCGCGUAGGCGGUCUGAUAAGCCGGUUGUGAAAGCCCCGGGCUCAACCUGGGAACGGCAUCCGGAACUGUCAGGCUAGAGUGCAGGAGAGGAAGGUAGAAUUCCCGGUGUAGCGGUGAAAUGCGUAGAGAUCGGGAGGAAUACCAGUGGCGAAGGCGGCCUUCUGGACUGACACUGACGCUGAGGUGCGAAAGCGUGGGUAGCAAACAGGAUUAGAUACCCGAGUAGUC